rnacentral:rRNA from 1 species
AGAACUUUCCAGAGAUGGAUUGGUGCCUUCGGGAACUCUGAGACAGGUGCUGCAUGGCUGUCGUCAGCUCGUGUUGUGAAAUGUUGGGUUAAGUCCCGCAACGAGCGCAACCCUUAUCCUUUGUUGCCAGCGGUUAGGCCGGGAACUCAAAGGAGACUGCCAGUGAUAAACUGGAGGAAGGUGGGGAUGACGUCAAGUCAUCAUGGCCCUUACGAGUAGGGCUACACACGUGCUACAAUGGCGCAUACAAAGAGAAGCGACCUCGCGAGAGCAAGCGGACCUCAUAAAGUGCGUCGUAGUCCGGAUUGGAGUCUGCAACUCGACUCCAUGAAGUCGGAAUCGCUAGUAAUCGUGGAUCAGAAUGCCACGGUGAAUGCGUUCCCGGGCCUUGUACACACCGCCCGUCACACCAUGGGAGUGGGUUGCAAAAGAGGUAGGUAGCUUAACCUUCGGGAGGGCGCUUACCACUUUGUGAUUCAUGACUGGGGUGAAGUCGUAACAAGGUAGGCGUAGAUGA